AACGAACGCUGGCGGCGCGCCUAAUACAUGCAGGUCGAGCGAGAAGGUGUAGCAAUACACUUGUAAAGCGGCGAACGGGUGAGGAAUGCAUGGGUAACCUACCCUCGAGUGGGGAAUAACUAGCCGAAAGGUUAGCUAAUACCGCAUACGUUUCCGGAACUUCGGUUUCGGAAAGAAAGCAAUACCGUGGGUAUUGCGCUCCUGGAUGGGCUCAUGUCCUAUCAGCUUGUUGGUGAGGUAACGGCUCACCAAGGCUCCGACGGGUAGCUGGUCUGAGAGGACGAUCAGCCACACUGGCACUGCGACACGGGCCAGACUCCUACGGGAGGCAGCAGUAAGGAAUAUUGCGCAAUGGACGAAAGUCUGACGCAGCGACGCCGCGUGGGGGAGUGAAGGUCUUCGGAUUGUAAA
rnacentral:rRNA from 1 species